rnacentral:tRNA from 1 species
GCCCCCAUAGCUCAGGGGAUAGAGCGUCGGUUUCCUAAACCGUGCGUCGCAGGUUCGAAUCCUGCUGGGGGCA